CAAAAAGAUGAUGCAAGUCAAAUCAUACUUUUGGUAUUUAUCAAUGUAGAGUAUAUUGUGGAAAGAUCGAUCAAAGUUGCAGAGAGCGGACAACUGCAAAUCGAGACACUGAAAUAGAGGAAUAAAGGCAAUCAUAGGGGAGAGGAAGCGUGUUUAAUCAGAUGAGGAUGAAUAAAUGUCAGUGACAACACCACCAAGGCAUUCGAAGGUGACAGUGGCUAUAGCAGGACUGUUCUGCAGGCAUCACAACAGUUACUAUAAGAUCCUCAAACAGUUGCACCAUCUCUACAGAGAGUGUCGUGAAAUUCCGUCGUUUCUCACAACAGAGGUGCGAGCGAAAAAUGCCGCCUUGAUGAAGACAGCCUCGGACAGAGAUGGUGGGAGG